CCGGGGCUUCCGUCCUCACCAGAGUCCUUAGGAAGGCAACGUUGGCUCGGAGCAUAGGGGGAUCCUCCAAGCUGAGCACUAUUAAAAUUAUGGGGGCAGGACAGAAUCCGGCUCUGCUCAAGGGGUUUCAUUUCUCAAAUCUAUUGGAGCAAAAAUGAGCAAUGUGCCCUGCUGGUGUUUAGAUGUUCUGAAUCCCUCAGCUGAGUGUUGGGUUCCUGUGUUGUCCUGCCUGGUGCUUGCUGGAUGUGCUGGAACAAAGAGCUUGGGCCCUUGAUGAAAACGACCACAAAUUACUUCAUUGAGAUUUACUGGGCUCAGAGUAAAAGGGACGAAGCUCAGGUUUGAUCUAGAAAAUGCUUCUUCCCUGUCAGGAUGGUGAAGUCCUGGCUUCACAGAUUGCUCAGAGAAGCCAAGUAAAUAAAGUUUCAGAAUUCUUCA